ACCGGGCGUGGUGGUGCACCCCUGUAGUCCCAGCUCCCCGGGAAGCUGAGGCUGGAGGAUCCCUUGAGCCCAGGAGUUGUGGGCUGCAGUGCGCUACGCCGAUCGGAUGUCCGCACUAAGUUCGGCAUCAGUAUGGUGACCUCCUGGGAGCGGGGGACCACCAGGUUGCCUAAGGAGGGGUGAACUGGCCCAGGUCAGAAAAGGUCUAACACCUACUAAAAUGUGCCUACUAGCUAUCUACAAAAUGGAGGACCCCCAACACUUCAUCUGCACUAUUCCAGCCCGU
rnacentral:SRP_RNA from 1 species